GAGGUGAAGAGAGAGAUAACGGCUGAAGAGAGGAAGAAGAUGGAGGAAUCUGUCCAGUCUCUGGCUUUGCUUGCAUGGCGGAAGGCAACUGAUGAGUUAAUGGAGAAAAACAAACAACUGGAGGAGAA